rnacentral:lncRNA from 10 species
AUGAGUCAAGACUUUGGGGCACUGUUGGGAAGCCAUGAUAGUGUUUUGAAAUGUGAGAAGGACAUGAGAUUUGGGAGGGGCCAAGGUCAAAAUGAUAUGGUUUGACUCUUUGUCUCCACCCAAAUGUCAGGUGGAAUUUUAGUUCCUACUGCUGGAAGAGAGACCUAGUGGGAGGUGAUUGGAUCAUGGGGGAAGACUUCCCCCUUGCUGUUCUCAUGAUAGUGAGUGAGUACUCACAAGAUCUGGUUGUUUGAAAACGUGUAGCACUUCCCCCUUCUCUCUCUCGCUCUCUCUCCUGUCACCAUGUGAAGAUGUACCUGCAUCUCCUUCACCUUCUGCAUGACUGUUGAUGUUGUCUCAGCACAGUGAAACAAGAGAUGCAGUUCUCAGGAUAUAUGUAAAUCUGGAGUUGGAGGAAAUCAAAGCACGGAAAUGGAAUCAGGGACAUUAUACACUGUCGCUUAAAGGCACGUUCUCUGCCAUUGUAUUACCUGUGGUGCAAAUCCUGCUUCUGCCAGUGAUGUCCUUGGCAAAUUACCUGACCCCUCUAUGCUUUAGUUUUCUGUAUCUUUAUAUAGAAAUAAUAACAAUAAUACCCAUCUAUUAAGGUUGUUGUAAGAAUUAAAUGAGUUAAUACAUAUAUAAGGCUUAGGAUAGUGUCUGAUAUGUAAUAAUAUGUAACCUUAGAUCCUCCCUAAUUACUUUUAUGUUUUUUAUUAUAUCUCUAUUAAAAUGUUUAAUGAACAUAAAGUUUAAAUGAUUUUGUACUCAGGGGGACAUAAACUUGCACUGUUUUUGCACGAGAUGCUGUACAUAACAGAGUUUCUAGCACCUUAGAGUUUGUAAAGUGUAGAAUGAGUAGCAUUCUCUGAGUCUAGGUUAGUACUUUGAUGUUUAGAUGUAUUGAAACUGAUGCUUCGCAUAUUUAUUUCUUUAAAACAUAAACUGACUAAAGUCUACAUGUUCAUGUGCAGGUAAUAUGGCCAAUAUGGGCUUCAAUUAGCUAAACCAAUCUCAGUCACAUUCCUCUAUUUGGCUGGGCAGAAAUGGUUUAGGAUUAAAAUACUUGACUAUUUGAGUUAAAUACAUCCAGCCUGAUCAUCAGGUGCCACACCAUAAAUUAUUCCUUUCAAAGCCCUUUUUGGUACUUGGAUUAAGUAAUUAUCCUACCUGCCUAAGUGCUUUACAAAGUGGGUUGCUUUUGCUAACCUAGGCUCUCCCAAGUUUUCAUAAUACCAUUAUUACUUUAACAUACCAUUCCAUUAUUGCCAUGAGACAAUCCUGUAAGGUAAACAUUACCAAAUUUCACUCAUUGGUCAGAUUAUUUAAUUCCCAGACAAGGUUUUCACUGGUUCUUAAAGUUUGUUAUAGUGGAAUUUGGGUCAUCCUAAUGUCAUGUAGCAUGUUCUAAAGGGAUUAAAUGGGACACAAAGGGAGACAGAGGCAUAUUUAAAAAUGUCUAAAUAUGAGUAACAAUUCUGUCACUGGUAGGUUAAAUUAUUAAUAAUUGUAGAGAAAAUAAUGUUUGUCUAUUAUGAGAUAAUAAACUACUAUAUUGC